CACGCCAGGCUGAGUUUCACUGGCUUGUGAUCCAACAGCCCACCAUGAUGGAUUGAGUGACUGCAGCAAGUUGGCAGCUAAAGUGUGUUGUAACAGUAUCUUUCUGUCAGCACAACACAAUGGAUUUGCUGAUCCCUGGGUUUUCGCAGUGUUCGCUGUUGCCAUCGGCUCAGAAGUUUCGAAAGUUCAUUUUCCAGGGGGCUGCAAAGCGAUCAUAAAUAAUGUACCAAAGGUUACUUUAGGUUCUUCUUCUCCUCGACUGUCCUGCAGCUGACAAAGUAGGUGUGGUGGUGCCAGCUAUGUUCCACGCACAAAAGGAGCCGUAAAUGCCUCGCACUCGCCUUUUCUGGAGCUGCCUAAAGUUCAAGGAAUAAAGUGGGGACAGCUAUGCCAGUGGCUUUUCAUGCUCUUCCAGGCAAGCAUAUGCUCUCCACAAAGAUGGGAACAUGCUAUGAGGAACAGUCCUGUUGAGGCAGAUGGUUUUGGGGUACAAGGCAAAGACAAAGCCAUGCAGGUGGUCUGAUUAAAAAAAAAAAAAAAAAUCACUCCAAAAAACCUUACCUCUUCUUGCAUAAUUCAUGGGCCAUCGCAGCUACACCAUCACUUUAAGACUACCAAGGAUGACAAAUACAAAUACCCGGGAAUCCUGACUCCUAGUUGGGUACUUCAAGUACAACAAAGCAAAAUUCCUGCCAGAGCAAGAAAGGUGGAAGAUACCCAUGAAGAGUUCAUUUGAAUAGAAAUAUACCUUAAAUGCUUCACAAGUACUCCAGGCCUCAGGUUCAUCCAGUUCCUUUUGCAUGAUGAUCCAGUCCCUCUUCAUAUUGGAAAUGGCUUCCAUCUCUGGGUCAUCACCAAAUGUAUCUAAGUGUUGAAAAGAGCAAGACAAAAGGUACAGGGGCUGAAUUACAUAACUGCCUGUAACUCAAUCCCCGGAGUCAACGGGAUGACUCUCAUGACAGCACGAGGAGCCAGAACAUACAGCAUUUCCUCCCCACAAUCAAUCUCGGGAGGAAAGUUUUCUCUAAAGCAACAAGCAAUCUUUAGGAACUGUGCUUGAGCCUCCCUCAUUGUAAGUACAAGGCCUGAUUUUCUUUUACAGCCAGUGCCCUUCAAAUGCAGCCAAAAAAAGAGAUAAAAGAGCACCCAGGUCUGAUUCAGCUCCUUAAUUAGUUAAAUUGGAAAACUAAGCCUGUUCUUUAAACCAUGGGGAGGGGGCGGCUUUUAUAUGUGUCUAUAUAAACGCAUGCACCUGCAGACCUAGAAAUAAAUACAGAGAUGCCAAGGGGCUUCUGAAGGGACCAUUGUUUCUUUGGAGGGGUGUUGAAUAUGCUCAGCUUGGCUUCACAGUCAGACAAGGUGCUGAAUUGCCUUCAGACCUGCUCAGAGUUGCACUUUCAUGCCCCGUGUUCUCCAAAGGAAUAACCAGAAGAUACAACAGUUCAAAUGCUGUUCAGUGAUUCCCAUAUCAAUGCUGAUUCAGAGAAGAAAUUGAGCCCAUGUUCGGUUUUGCGGUAGUAUGUAAUGGCAAAGCAUAAACCCAUGUUUCCCUGGGUUUGCACAGGGGUGGCUCUUGGAAAAAAAGAAAUACAGGAGGUAGCUUCAGUACUAGGAAAGUGGGUGGUUAGGAAGAGAUUUCAGAGCAGCCAACGCUGGGCCUGAGCCCUAUUGUUGGAAACCUUGGCUCAGGCAGGAGGUGGUAUGCAAAGAGAAAUAGGUCUCUAGCUUUAAUGAGCUUUAAGUAAAUAGCCGGUCCUACUAAAACCUUGGAUCAAUACAAUAUGUGUUCGCACUUUUAGAGCGUUCUCCUAGUCAGCCCCACAAGACUACCUUGUAUCCUGUUGCCACGACCCAGGGAGCUUUAAAGAGGAUUGCCCCACUCCUAAGAGGACUUUGCUGGGUUCUUGCCAUGGACUCGUGUUGCCCCUUUCCCAUGUUUUGCAGAUGUCCUGUUCACUCCUGGUCUCUGCCCUACUCCAGCUCCCCAGCGCUGGGUGCCCCACGCAACCCUCACGGCACCUCCCCUCGCUGGACGUCAGCCUGAAAAGCGUGCGUUGCUCUAUGCCGAGGAGCACCUCCAAACGGGUGAGGUGUCAGCAUCCGAAGUUCAGGGGACGACCGGUUUUAAAAAUCAGUUUCCGAAAUUGGUGGAGGGCUUCGGGACUCUGGAUGCCCCAGUGUUUCGGGGUUGGGGCAUCUGGGAUGCUGCUGUGGCCUCACUUUCUUCCAAUGAGUAAGAGCCAUCUUCCAACCCGCUAGCUAGACGAGCCAACAGGUAGCGAAUUUCUCGAUGGCGGGAUAAAUGCCUGCCUGCCCGAGGGAUGCGAUGGAGGGAAGGGGGCAGAGAGAUCCCGUUCCUUAUUCCACGGCAUGUCCGGCGGCUGCACAGUUAUUCGGAGGGUAGAGGGGGAGGAAAUUUUAAUCCCUGCCACGAAGAUCGUCUUGGAGAGCUGGUUUCCCAGCCUGGAAAGCAUCCAGCCACCGUGUCUUCUCCCUUCAGCUCCCUCCUGCCUGCCCCCUCCCUACCACGCUAGACACGCUCUCCUUUCAAAAAGUUACUGACCAGAAAAUUGUCGAGGGCAGCAGCCCAGCGAGGCGGUUAAUCCCCGCUGGGGCAGAGCUGCUCACGGAGGCUUCCUGCCCUGCCGUUACCUCUGGGUGACCCCAAUGGUGGGCAGUCAGGGGGGCAGGUGGGACGUCAAAGCAAUCCCGUGGGCUGCAGGCUGCUUGUGUCAAGCCGGGAGGGUGCGGGCAGCGGCGGAGCGUUUCCUCCUACUAGCGGACAUCUGAAAUAUCGGGAGAUUUACGACAGCAGAGGCUUCCCUUUAAUUGCCCCUGAAGAAGCUAAUGGCAGUGACAUCGCAGAUUGCUGCUGAUUUUCUCAGGAUUUAUUCUCCGGUUUGGUUUGCACAACAAAGCUGAUUGUUUUAUCUCUCCCCCCCACCCCAUCUUCCCAGGCAAAUCACAAAACUCCUUAUCUAGCCAUAGGAAAAUCAUUUCAGGCCCCCCUCCACUCCCCACAGACUCUUAGGCAGCCUUAAGUCUGAAUUUUAAUGUGCUAACGAGACCGGCUCCUGGGCGGGAGGGGAGUGAAAGAGGCUUGUCUGAAGGAGCGAGCGCUUCACCGAAGGCUGCAGCAUCGACCGCUUGCUGGAAGCCUGAAGGGAGCCGGUGGGAAUUAGGCUUUCAGUUUCCACAGAAAUAUUGGGGGCCUGAUUUGUAUAAACUGGUUCAGAUGUCAGACCCUGAACACAGGUAGGUGACCAGCCCCAAAGGACUUGUCUAUCCCACGGCAAGAGCGGGUGCCAAGAAGAGCGCGUCCUACCUGCCUGAGUCUGCAGGCAUGCUCCGGGCAAGGCUGCGCCAGGCACUUUGGACCAAGAAGCUGGCGAGAUGAUCUACAGUUUAUUCCCAGCUUGUGGACGCCCGCUAUGAGUUUUCAUACAGUGGAAAGCAGAAUAGGAACAGGACAAGGCUUCUAUCAGAACGAAUAAAAGAGCUUGCAAAAAAAA